rnacentral:rRNA from 1 species
UUGGAGGUAGUGACAAUAAAUCACAAUGCGGGACUAUCAGUCUUGCAAUUGGAUUGAGAACAAUGUACAACUCUUAUCGAUAAGCCAUUGGAGGGCAAGUCUGGUGCCAGCAGCCGCGGUAAUUCCAGCUCCAAUAGCGUAUAUUAACGUUGUUGCAGUUAAAAAGCUCGUAGUUGAAGUGUGGGUGAUCGCUGUUGUGAGACUUCGGUCUCUCGACAGUAAGUCACCCCCUUCCAGUAUCCAGUAGUGGGUAUUCAGUUACUUACUAUUGUGUGUUGGUCCUUUACUGUGAGAAAAUUAGAGUGUUCAAAGCAGGCGUUUGCUUGAAUAGAUUAGCAUGGAAUAAUAAUUGAAGGCUUUCGUGUUCGAUUUGAUUGGUUUGUUCAUGGAAGCAAGGUUAAAAGGAACAGUUGGGGGUAUUCAUAUUCACUAGUUAGAGGUGAAAUUCUCGGAUUUAUGGAAGAUGAACAAGUGCGAAAGCAA